rnacentral:lncRNA from 1 species
AAGACUUGACCUUUGAAUUCCUUUUUUUUUUCUUUCUGAAUAUGUCAAAACAGGGAUUACAUUUUUCCUCUCACUAUAUCCAAGCAUUAAGGGAUACUCAUUGAUAUCAUCCAUUGUUAAACCAAUAUUCUGCAGAAAUUCUACACGUUCACGCAUGACUUCAACUGUAGAUGGUAAGUCCUUAUCCUCUAAUUCAUUAGUAACUAUGCCUAUGUUUUUUAAAUAGUCAGAAAUUAUAACUUUUGAGACAAGUUUUUCUUCAUUCUUUUGCAAUAUUCCCCAUGUUACUGAAGGCAUUUCAUAGUCAGGGAAUUUUUUGGCGACUGGGUUGGAAAGGGUCUCUGAUUUAUAUCAUGAAACAAACUCAUGAAACAAACUCGUUGCCACCUUAUCAAAUAGAUUUAAGAGUCAUCAAAUUUUAGCAAGGGGUGAUGCCACGUGAAAGAUUUAAUAAUCUUAUCUAAUAAUUAAUUAAUUAGGUAAUAUCUCAUUACCCGGUAAUUACUCAAUUACCGUAUAAUUAAAAAUUAUUUCAAAUUACUUAAUAUACUAUUCACUUUUAAUACACUUUAUAUAUCAUACUAUCAUGGUCAUGUGGUACCAUAUAAAAUAAAUACAUACACUAUUAUUUUAUUGAAACAUCCAUGUAAAAAUACAUAUGUUUUUUCUCAAUUUAUAAUUUUUCUAAUCUUAUAUAAAGAGUAAAAAUUCUCAUAUGCUUAAUUCUUAAAAUGGUAAAAAAAAUAGCCUUCUUUUCUUGUGAGAAAAUACUUUCUAUUAUUAAAAUAAAGAAAAUCUUAUAAACCUUUUCAUAUUAUGUGUAUAAUUGAAAAUAGUAAUAUUAGUAACUAUAUAAAAUCAUAAUUUUCAAACUUUUUAUAAAAGUAUGCCACUCCAAAUAUCAUAUCAACUGUAUACGAUGAUAACAAGGUUGUUAACAACAGGGUCUUAUAGUCACAAUUUCUGUACUCAAAGGUUGUAUCAACUAGUAGACAAGAAAGUAGAAGCUAAGAAAAUCAAUAUUGACAUUUCCUUGAACUGUUUUAUAUCACUUUAAAGCUAAAAUAUCAAACAAGUAAUAUAACUUGGACGAUACAUGGGGAAAAAAACGUUUACUUGAUGAGGUCCAGAAAAUGUAAAGAACAUUACCUUAUAGUGAUUUAAACCAAUUCUUCAAGAAAAUAGAUAAUAUACCGCCAAGAAGUUAUUGAAGUAUCAGGAAUCGCAAAUAAGUUAUUUUGGUCAUAUCAAAAGUCUAACAUUGCAUAAUUACUAGCCAAUAAAAUUUGAAAUCCUAAAUGACAUGAACGGGCUUCCCGCAACUUGACUAAUUCAAGAUUACUCAUCAACAGGUACACAAAUAACCUUCAAGCUCAUAUAGAUUACUGCGACUUGUCCUAAUAUUAAAGUACGAGGUGUAACAUCGGAUAUAUGCAUAACUAGUAGUUACGUACAGACUCUCGUUACCUCGUGCGUACGUAGCCUCCACAAAUAGUAGCACAUAUAUUAAUUUAGUUCACCUAUGGGGUUAAUUCUCUCUUGCAAGGUUAGAAAAGAGUCUUAUCUCGCUCCGGAGUUCAAUAACCGGCUCCCAAGGCUUUCCAACAACUCAAACGAAUGUCCAUCGCUCAAAAACUAGUCAAUAAAAGUGCAAAUCCAUAAAUAUAUACUCUAUUACUCAUUAUAAUUCAAUUCACAAUAAAUUCCCAACUCCGCUCGAAAAGUCGACAAAAAUUACCCUCGGGCCCACGUGCCCAGAUUCCAAAAGUUUUUGAAGAUAAACUUUACCCAUAACACCACAAACUCAAAUAUAUAAUUUAUUCCAAGUUCCAUGCCCAAUGUCACGACCCCAAAUACCGAUCAUGAUGGCGCCUAUCACAUUACUAGGCAAGCCAACAAAUCAACUAACCACGACUCAUUUUCCUUUAACAUUAAUCAAUUUUCUAACACAAGUUUUAAAUAUUGAAGUCAUUAUAAGCGUUAAAACAACAGAAAUAUACGGAACGUCAAAAUAACAAUAACUACACAGCGUCAACAAUCUGGUGUCACGAGUCUAGAGCCUCUAAUACAAAUCUGAAUACCUAAUACAUCAAUAGUCUAGGAAAUGCAGAAAAAUAAUAAGAUAGGAGGGAGAGAACAGGGUUGUGGACACCAUGCAACUACCUCGAAGUCUCCGUCAAAUACUGAACAGCUGAAAGCCCUCACUCGGUCGCCCGGGCACCUGGAUCUGUACACAAGGUGCCGGGAGUAACAUGAGUACGCCAACUCAGUAAGUAACUAGAGUAAAUAAGGACUGAAAACAGUGACACGCAGUUCAAAAAUACAUAAUUGGAUAAUCAACAUAAUAUCAGGUCAUCUUUACAGUUUAAAUUCAGUUUUCGUGAUAAAAUAAAAUUUCCAGUUUAAAUAUUUGGAAUCAAAUACUUAGCGGUAUAUCAAACAGAGGCUUAUUUAAAAGAAGAGUGAAAUCAGUGAAAAACAUCAUAACAAGGCCUCUCAGGCAAGGAAUCACUCAGAAUAUGGCCCCUCGUGCAGCCUCUCAUUCACUCGUGACUCGACUCUCGUCACACAGUACUCACACUCAGCAUUCAGCUCAUUAGUAUCUCAUAAUAAUAGAAAUCAUAGUAACCCGUGGGGCGUGCAUCCCGAUCCAUAAUUUAUAGUCAACUACGCUCACUAGGGGUGUACAGACUCCGAAGGGGCUCCUACAGCCCAAGCGUCAUAUCGUUGCAGUGUGUAGCUCGAUCCAAUAUAUAUAUCGCUGCGGCGUGCAGCCAGAUCCAAUAUAUAUAUCGCUGCGGCGUGCAGCCCGAUCCAUAUAAGUAUUACUGCGGCGUGCAGCUCGAUCCAUAACUCACAUAUAUAUAAUUAUCCUCAUAAUUGGGUUCUCAACCACUUUCGGUCUUUAAUCUCACAGCCUCUCGGGCACAACAAUGAAAAUUAGGGAACUUAACCCAAACAGCCCUCACAAUUGGGAGUAGAGUAAUAAAAAUCAGUUUUAAAUAUUUUAGCUAGUAAAACAUGACUGAGGAUUUGCUUCUGGCAAGUAAAGUGAGGAAAAAUAGUCAAAAUGCCCCUAAGGGUUUCUACAGGUCGUCACAAGGCCCCAAACAUGGCAUACAACCCAUAAUAUAGUAUAAAUGACUGAAAUAUAGAAUGAUAUAAGAUGUUCAAAUCAAUUACGCGGCUUGAUAGUCGCUACGGGACGAACCAAGUCACAAUCCCUACCGGUACACGCACAGACGCUCAUUACCUAGCAUGUGCAUCAUCGCAUUUAUCAAAACAAGUCAAAUACCGGGGUUUUUUACACUCAGUUCCAAAUUUAUAAUGGUUACUUACCUCAAACCGGUGAAAUACUACUCCGCGACGCCUUUGCCCAUCGAAUCGGCCUCCACGCGCGUCGAAUCUAUCCAAAAUCAGAACGAGGAUGUCAAAAUAUGCCAAGGGAACGAAGCCCAAGUGAAAACAAUCGAAAAAUACCAAAAAUCCCCAAAUUACCAAAACCCGACCCCUGGGACCACGUCUCGAGAUUUAGAAAUUUAUAAAUCAAUAGAUUCCUCGUCUAUGCAUAUCAAGAACACUAAAAUCGGAGUCCAAAUGACCCCUCAAAUCCUCUUUUAAAGGCCUCUUAAACUCAAGCCCUAAUCCUCCAUUUUUAGCCCUUAAUAUCCACUAAAACCAUGAUUAAACAAUGGAAAAAUGAUCUUAAACCCAAGUAAUUAAGCUUAGGGAACUUACCCAACCGAUCUCCUUUGAUUCCUCUUGAGAUCCUAUGCCUUAGCCUCUUUCCCGUCUUCAAAAAUGGAGUUCUUUGCAAAAAUUCGCAAAGGAAGCAAUAUAUACCUUCUGGCCAGGGAUUUUCGCAUCUGCGACAUGCCCACCGCUUCUGCGGUACCGCAUAUGCGGUCAGAUUACCGCUUCUGCGUUUAUUCACUUAAAGGACCAACCUUGCAUCUGGGGUCAACUCUCCACACCUGCACCUUCGCAGGUGUAGUUAAACUACCACAUCUGCGGUUCCUGUCUUUCCCUAAAAAACUGCUUCUGCGGCUCCUGUUCCGCACGUGCGGCAUCGCACCAGAAGCAGCUGAGAUUCCAUAACUUCACAAGUCUAAACCUUUCCGUCAACCAUCUGAAAUCAUCACGAGGCCCCCAGGACCUCAACCAAAAGUACCAACAUAUCCUAAUACCUUGUUCAAACUUGUUCCAAUCAUCAAAACACUUUCAAACAUCAUCAAAUCACCCAAAACACAUCGGAUACAAGCCAAACUUUCUAAAAUCUUCCAAAUUACGUUUUCUAUUAAAAACCCAACCAAACCAUGUCCGAAUGACCUGAAAUUUUACACACACAUCCCAAAUGACACAACGGAACUACUACAACUCUUGGAAUUCCAUUCUGACCUCUACAUCAAAAAAUUUCCUAUCAAUCGGAAAUCGCCAAAAUAUCAAGUUCGCCCAUUCAAGCCUAAAUCUACUACAGACCACCAAAAUUCAUUUUGAUCGCGCUCCUAAGCCACAAAUCACCUCGCGAAGCUAACUGAACCAUCAGAACUCACAUCUGAGCCCUCUAACACAUAAGUCAACAUCUGGUUGACUUUUUUUUCAACUUAAACUUCCUUAAAAGAGACUAGAUGUCUCCAAACUUACCCAAAUUCCUUUCGUAUUGGAUCCGACCAACCUGAUACCACAAAACACGAAUAACAAAGCAUAAAGAAGCAGAAAUAGGGAAAACAGAGCGGUAACCCAUGAGACGACUGACCGGGUCCUCACAUCCUCCCCAACUUAAACAAAAUUCGUCCUCGAGCGAGUCAAGAAACAUACUUGAAGCCUCAAACAGGUGAGUAUAUCUGCUCUACAUCUCCCGCUCGGUCUCCUAGGUAACCUCCUCCACUGGCCGACCUCUCCACUGCAUUUUCACUGAAGCUAUAUCCUUUUACCUCAACUUUCAAAUUUGCUGACCCAAAAUAGCUACUGGCUCCACAUCAUAGGUCAGAUCAUCAUCCACUUGAACCGUGCUGAAAUCCAAAACAUGAGACGAAUCCUCAAUAUACUUCUGCAGCAUAGAAACAUGAAAUACCAUAUGCACACUUGACAAGCUGGGUGGCAAAGCAAGCUCAUAAUCCACCUCCCCAAUCCUCCGAAGCACCUUAAAAGGCCCAACGAACCGAGGACUCAAUUUCCUUUUCUUCCCGUAUCUCAUAACACCCUUCAUGGGUGGAACCUUCUCGCCAACCAUGUAGGACACAUAUCGAACCUUCCUAUCAGCAUAACUCUUUUGCCUUGACUGCGUUGUACGAAGCCUCUCCUGAAUCACCUUCACCUUCACCUUCUCCAAAGCAUCCUACACCAAAUCAGUCCCCAAUAGCCUAGCCUCACCGGGCUCAAACCAACCAACUGGAGAUCUACACCGCCUCCCAUACAAAGACUCAUAUGGAGCCAUUUGAAUACUCGACUGGUAGCUAUUGUUAUAGGCAAACUCUGCAAGUAAUAGAAACUGAUCAUAUAACCCUCCGAAUCAAUGACACAAGCACGCAACAUGUCCUCUUAUAUCUAAAUAGUGCGCUUGGACUGUCCGUCCGUCUAAGGGUGAAAAGCUAUGCUCAACUCAACCUGAGUACCCAAUUCUUGCUACACAGACCUCCAAAACUGCGAAGUAAACUGCUUGCCCCUAUCUGAAAUGAUGAAAACUGGGACACCAUGCAAACAAACGAUCUCCCGGUUAUAGAUCCCUGCCAACCGCUCUGAAGAAUAGGUACACAUGGGAAUGAAGUGCGCGGACAUGGUCAACCGAUCCACAAUCACCAAAAUAGCAUCAAACCUCUUCAAAGUCUAUGGAAGUGCAACUACAAAGUCAAGGUGAUCCUCUCCUACUUCCACUCGGGAAUAUCCAUCUGCUGAAGCAAGCCACCCGGUCUCUGAUGCUCAAAUUUCACCUGCUGACAAUUGAGACACCAAGCUACAAAUCCCACAAUGUCGUUCUUCAUUCUUCUCCACCAAUAAUACUACCUCAAAUACUGAUACAUUUUCAUGGCACCCGGAUGAAUGGAAUACCACGAGCUGUGGGCCUCCUCCAAAAUCAACUCCCGAAGACCAUCCACAUUGGGCACACAAAUCCGGCCCUGCAUCCUCAAUACCCCAUCAGCAUCAAUAGUCACAUCUCUGGCAUCAUCAUGUUGAACUCUACCUUUAAGGACCAGCAAAUGCGGAUCAUCAUACUGGCGCUCUCUGAUGCGGUCAUAUAAGGAAGACCAAAAAACCACGCAAGCCAAUACCUGACUGGUCUCCGAAAUAUCUAACCUCAUGAACUGAUUAGCCAAAGAUUGAACAUCAACUACAAGAGGUCUCUCCCCAACUAGGAUAUAUUCCAAACUCCCCACACUCACUGUCUUUCGGCUCAAAGCAUCGGCCACCACAUUGGCCUUUCCCGGAUGGUACAAUAUAUGAUAUCAUAAUCUUUAUGCAACUCCAACCAUCUCCGUUGCAUCAAAUUAAGAUCGUUUUGCUUGAACAAAUGCUGAAGACUAUGAUGAUUAGUGAACACCUCACAAGGUACGCCAUACAAGUAAUGACUCCAAAUCUUCAAUGCAUUAACUAUGGCAGCCAACUCCAAAUCAUGAACGGGGUAGUUAUUCUCAUGGGGCUUUAGCUGACGAGAAGCAUAAGCAAUAACUCUACCCUCCUACAUCAACACAAAACCAAUCCCAACUCUCGAAGCAUCACAAUACAUAGUAUAUGAACCUGAAACUAAUGGAAAAACUAACACUGGAACUGUGGUCAAAGCUGUCUUGAGUUUCCGAAAGCUCUCCUCACACUCGUCCAACCAUACAAAUGAAGCAAACUUCUAAGUCAGCAUAGUCAAGGGCGAAGCGAUAGAUGAGAAUCCCUAAACAAACCGGGGAUAAUAGCCUGCCAAACCAAGAAAGCUACGAAUCUUUGUAGCUGAGGACGGUCUGGGCCAACUCUAAAUCGCUUUUAUCUUCUUCGGAUCAACCUGAAUACCCUCGCUGGACACCACUGCCCCAAGAAAGCCACUGAACUGAGCCAGAACUCAAAUUUGAAGAAUUUUGCAUAAAGCUUCUCCUCCAUCAAUCUCUGUAACACGACUCUCAAAUGCUCCACGUGGUCCUCUUGACUACGUGAAUACACCAGAAUAUCAUCAAUGAAGGCUAUGACAAACGAGUUAAGAUAAGGUCGGAACACGCUAUUCAUCAAAUUCAUGAACGCUCCUGGGGCAUUGGUCAGCCCAAAGGACAUCACCAAGAACUCAUAAUGGUCGUAUCGGGUCCUGAAAGCCGUCUGAAGAAUAUCUUGUUACACCCCGCAAUAUUAUGGUGAUGUUACGCUUCGCAGUAAUAAGUUACGACGAUGUUGCACCCUGCAGUAUGUUACGUUGAAUUUGUUGUAAAGUAAUUGACAUCAGUCCAAGGAAAAGAUUAUUUGGAGAUUAUAAGAAUUAUAAGUGAUGAAUAAAUUUGUGCAGGUGAGAGGGGAAGCAAGUCGAAAAAAAUGAAUUUUCGUCCAAGUUUGGCAUGUUGGGAUAAAAUAUGGGCCGAGUGUUAAUACCCGAUACUUACGGACUAGUACCAUACAAAGUACCAUAUGAUCAUGAUAGUAGGGUAUAUAGUAUAUUAAAAGUAAGUAGUAUUUUAAGUAAAUUGAGAUAAUUCUUAAUUAUGCGAAUAAUUAUCGGGUAGCGGGGUAUUACCUAAUUAAAAAAAUUAAUACAUUGUUAGAUAAGUCUUGAGCCCCCAACGUGGCAGCCCCUCCCCUUUAAAUGUAGAUAACUCUUAGUGUAGUUAAUCUAGGUGGCAAUGUGUUAAUCACAUAAACACUUCAUUUUCCAAGGUUUUCAAUAUACCAAGAACACUUCAAUCAAUGUUGGUCUGAAUGCUACCAAUAUAAUAUGAAAACAGUUAACCAAUUUGAGGAACAAUUGAAUUAUAGCUUCAUCCAAGCCCAAGAAUCCCGUCAACAUUACCACCAAUAUUAUUGCUUCUUGCACAACCAAAGACGUGAGCUUUUGCUGUUUAGUUUUGAUGGUUAUAUUUGAAGAUGAUGCAAAGUUAUAAAGUGAAAAUAGUGAUGGAUCUAAAGAAGUUGACAACGGAGACAAAAGUGAAAAUGGUGUCAUAAAGAUAUCCUUAAGCUUAAUGAAUAGCAACAACAAAAGUACAUGAGCAAUUCUAUUUUUGGAGUAGAUAUAACGCCAAUCUAUAUUGUAGUAGCAGCAACGUGAGUGGUAUUCUAUGGAAGAACAGUGUAAUUUUCCUACUUCAAUCUGUCGUUACAUAUUUUCGCAAAAGACGUGUAUUAGAGGGAUUAUCAAGAGAAUCAUCUCAGGUAUAUUAAGGCUAAGCCCUUCCUUCAUUUUGGUAUGAUCUUGUUAUUAUACAAGUUUGAUAACGAAGCAUAAAGAAAAAUCCAUAUCCCAAAAUUUACGUAUAAUUUUCUAGUCUCGCAAGUUACAUAUAUUUUUUCUAGUUUUGUAACUCCUUAUGGGGAAUUCAUAUCAGAUGAGUAUUUACUUUUUCCAGUCAAGAGAGCCGAGAGUUUACAUGUAUACAGUAUUAAAAGUAUCUUCAUUAUCAUCGAGCUAUAAUAGAUGGGCAGGCCCUUAUUGGGCAACCUCUGAUCAAAUGGUAAGUUAUAUACCGAUCCUACUAUGGCCGAGCGCUUAUGAACGAGCCUAGUUUGUCGAGAUACAGAGCCUAGUAUGGCCGAUUGCAUAUGAGCAAGCCUACUACGACAGUGCAAUUAUAUAUAUACCGAGCCUACUGUGGUCGAGCGCGUAUGAGCGAGCCUAGCAUGGUCGAGAUACAGAGCCUAGUACGGCCGAGCGCUUAUAACCAAGCCUACUACGGCAGAGCAGAUAUAUAUAUAUGUAUAAUGAGCCUUAUAGGGUCGGACAACAAUUUUACUUAAUAUAUUGAGAGAAUUGAGUCAGUAUCAGCAGGUAAGCAUAUCUUCAUAUUAUCUUUGACUUCCAGCUACUUGCAGUUAUUAUAUUAUCAAUUCAGUUUCAGCUUUCAGUAUAUUCCCUUACAUACUCAGUACAUUAUUUCCUACAGAUGUCCCUUUUCUGGGGGCACUGCAUUUCAUGCAUGCAGGUCAGACAGACAGACGAGCAGGCCUCUUCAAUAAGUGUUGCCCGAGUUCAGCUUGAUCGGUAAACUCCAUGCCUUUUGGAUUUUCCGGGUCUAGAGCCUUAUGUAUAUCUUGUAUAUAUACGUAUAUAUAUAUGUCAUGAGUAGGUCGGAGAGAUGUUCCGAUCACAGUAUAUCCAUCAGUAGAGGCUUGUAGACAUAUCUUGUCAGUUAGUGCAGUAUGUUGGGCUUUCAAGCCUUGUAUGUAUAUUUGGUUGGUUUGUCAGCUGUAAUAAAUAUGACGGCCUUGUCGGCCAAAUUUUAUAUUGAUAUUUAGUCAGCAUUCGCUAUCGUCUUGAAA